AAAAACGCCAAAAGAAGGGACUGAGCAGUGAAAGAGAAGUCAGAAAGAGGUGCAUUUGCAGAAUUUUGAUUCCAUUUUUACUGUCCAUUUCCUCUCUCUCUCUCUCACCUCGUGACAUCCGUCCUUCUCCACUUCUCCCCAAUCAUCAACCAUUUCUCUCCAUCCAUAUAUUACUACUAUUGCUAUUUGUGGCUUCUCGAGUACGGUUUCAGUUGAACUUGCUGCUGUAAUUUGGAUCGGCUGGAAUAAAAUAUGAUUACGCACGAGCAAGAUCCAGAUGUCGUUCGGUGGGGUCUUCAGUUGUUUGAUAGUGAUCCGUACUCUAAUUGCGCAUAUAGUGGUGCCAUGCCCCAAAACAGCUUAGAUUACUAUCAGGACCAUUACUUCAAAGGUGGUCAUUUUAGUACAGAAUCUGGCAGUGAGGAAAAUCACAAUUUCAAUGCACAGCGUCUCCAGGAAGAACUAUCUCAGCUUUCAGUCGCUGAACCACCUUCAAUUCUCCAUCAAAUGGAAGAACACACACAAACACAUUUUUAUCCACAAGACUGGUUUGGUCAACCUAUGGGAAACUACAAUAUUGGAGAAGAGAACUGUGAUGAAGAAGAAACUAAUGAUGGAGCUUCCACUUCAUGCUCUAGCCCAGGAGAAGAGUCAUAUACAGGGGAGGACUGGUCAUAUUCACUUGAAUUGACGGAUGAAUAUGAUCUUGAUGGUGAAGUAGGGAAACGAUUGAACCAGAUGAUUCCAAUUCCUCACAUUCCUAGAAUCAAUGGAGAAAUACCAUCAAUUGAUGAGGCAACCUUAGAUCAUCAAAGACUUCUUGACCGAUUACAGGUUUAUGAACUAGUAGAAUUUAAAGUUCAAGGUGAUGGGAAUUGUCAGUUUCGUGCUUUGUCAGAUCAAUUUUACCGCACCCCUGAGCAUCACAAAUUUGUCAGACAGCAAGUUGUGAAUCAGCUCAAGUCAUGCCCAGAGAUAUAUGACGGAUAUGUUCCCAUGGCCUAUCAUGAUUACCUGAACAAGAUGUCAAAGGACGGCGAGUGGGGUGAUCAUGUAACUCUACAAGCAGCUUCUGAUUCGUAUGGUGUAAAAAUAUUGGUCAUAACAUCUUUCAGAGAUACCUGCUACAUUGAGAUACUUCCCACCAUUCAAAAGUCUGAACGAGUUAUCUUCUUGAGCUUUUGGGCCGAGGUUCACUACAACUCAAUAUAUCCUAUACGAGAUAUCACAGCCAUUGAGAUGAAAAAGAAGUACUUAGCCAUUUCAAAUGAGCAAUUGGAAUCUCAAGAUGGUUACCAAUGAUAGACUGCAGCUAAUACAUUAUGGUUGGCUCAACACUUCUGCAAAUUACCGAUAUCCAGCUCAGCAGAGUUGUUUCUCAUCGUUGAAAAUGGAUAGGAUUCCGAUUCAGCUGAUUGAGCAAGGUGAAAGGAGAUGGAGUGUUAUGCGAGCUGGAAGAAACCGUGUUGUUUUGCAGUGGAAAGGAGGUUAGAGUGAAGAAUUGAUUUUGCAGUGGAAAGAGAGAUGAGAAGAGGAGAUACGCUGGUUGGUGGUGGAGAUUGACGGCGACCGAAAAAAUAGUUGGAAUAUGAUAUUUAUUUUUUGUCAUUUUAAUUUAUCUAGGUGACUAUUAUUUAUCCAGGUGAAAUCCACAUCAUCUUUUUUUUGCCAGCUGACGCGCGUGUGUAGUCAGACUAGGAGCAGCAGACAAAAAGGUGUACGUGAUAGUGGAAUAAACAAGUUUGAAGGGAUAAUUAAAACAGAAUAUAGUUUAAGUGUAAA